CCUACGGGGGGCAGCAGUGAGGAAUAUUGGUCAAUGGGCGAGAGCCUGAACCAGCCAAGUAGCGUGAAGGAUGACUGCCCUAUGGGUUGUAAACUUCUUUUAUAAAGGAAUAAAGUCGGGUAUGCAUACCCGUUUGCAUGUACUUUAUGAAUAAGGAUCGGCUAACUCCGUGCCAGCAGCCGCGGUAAUACGGAGGAUCCGAGCGUUAUCCGGAUUUAUUGGGUUUAAAGGGAGCGUAGGCGGGUGCUUAAGUCAGUUGUGAAAGUUUGCGGCUCAACCGUAAAAUUGCAGUUGAUACUGGGCGCCUUGAGUGCAGCAUAGGUAGGCGGAAUUCGUGGUGUAGCGGUGAAAUGCUUAGAUAUCACGAAGAACUCCGAUUGCGAAGGCAGCCUGCUAAGCUGCAACUGACAUUGAGGCUCGAAAG
rnacentral:rRNA from 1 species